GGGGGUAUAGCUCAAGGGUAGAGCGAUCGCUUCGCUUGCGAGAAGUCCGGAUUUCGAUUCCCACUACCUCCA
rnacentral:tRNA from 1 species